UUUGCCUGCUAGAUGAUUCUGCAUCUCAUUAAGCCGACAGUCGGGAUUAAGUAUUACAGCACUCUAGCUGGCUUUGGGAAAACUGCCCAAACUCUGAGCUACCAUUUCCCCAGCUGACUGAAGAUUCCCAAGGUCUUCACGACUGUUAGAAACCUCUCUCAAGAUUCCCUAAAUUCUCUACAUCCUUUCCCCCAACUGAGUGAUAUUCUGAUGAUGGAAAUGACGAAAUAGAACACCGGGGGACAGUGAUAGACCACGAGCAGCUUGUGUAACCAAUUGGAGCUUCCCAAGGGAGACCUGUCACCUUCCAAGGCCUGAGAACUUGACAUCUGCCCUCAACCAUGCUUCACAGUGGAAGGUGUUAACCAUCCUACAUUAGAGAAAACCAAGGCUCAGAGAUGGUCGUUCACCAAAGGACCCAGCUGGGACUCAGUGACAGGACCUAAAACCUAGCCUCUGGAGACAGAAGCACAGCCACGCCCUUAGGCCUGGGCGCAUCUCUGCUGGACACAGCCUCUCUGCCUCGCUCCUGCCUCCUUCGGUCGAUCUCGCACAUAACAGCCAGGGCCUUUCGGAAAUAAACCCAAAGGAGUCACUGCACUGAAGACCUCCAGGGACUUGCCAUCGCUCUUGGGAUGAAAUGCCGAUUCUUCACUUCCCCUCCAGAUAAGGCUCUCACGACUAGCCCCCUUCCUGUCUACCUCCUUCUAUACCUUCCCGAGGCCUCUGCUCCUCCACGCCGGCCAUCUUCCACCUUAACAUGCCAAGUCCUUUGGCUCUGUGCACCUCCUGUUCCUUCUGCCCCAAAGUCCUCCUCCACAUCUUUACUCCGUUGCCCUCUUCCCAGCCUUCUGCUCUGGCCGCCAACUAGAGCCACCACAUCACAGCCAUUUCCCCAUGCCACCCUGCUUUGCUGUCUUCCUUCUCUCUGAAAUGAGGUCUCUGGCAGGUGGGUCUGCACGAGGUGUCGGGACUUUUCUCCACUGGACCUGAGCUCCUUGCAGGCUGGGAUUUGAUGACCACAGAGCUUUUGUCCUUUGGAUGAGUUGGGACCUCAUUUGGCUUUUAUGACUCUGUAGGUGAAGAUGGGGUGAAGUGCCCAAGGCCAGAGCCUGGGAGUGCUAAGAGCACACACCCAGCCUGGCCUGAUGCCAAGACUGUCUCUUCUAAACCUGCUGGGGUGGGGCAGACUUAGAAAGAGGCUAUCAUGAAGAGGACGAGAGAGGUACAGGGUAGUCAGGGCUAAGAGAUUAUCUUGGUUCAACCCUGGAGGCCCUACUGACGGGAGCAAGUGGUCCCCAAAUAGGGAGACCACCAGAAGCCAGUGAUGGGGACCUUCUAUCCACAUGAUGCUUCUCAGAGCGGGGGAGGACCUCAGACUGGGGGAGGGGAAGCUAGGAGCCUAAGUCAUAUAGGCAAUCAGUGGCAAGACAGACUCGAGGGUGAGGGGUCCCCUCCAGGGCCAGAACCCCUUCUCUAACCUGAAGAACACCAGGUGCGGUGGAAUCCAGGGCUGGCAGAAUGCAGCAAAUCCAGGGUUUCCCAGGCCCCAAGGGCAGGGGCAGGGCUACCGAGGAGGAGCCGGGGCUGAAACAAACAGGCCCUGGAAGCAUGUUCUAGGCCAAGCACCGGGCUGGUGACAGGGAGGGGAACGGUAUGCUCUGAAGUGGAACAUCUACGUCAGAGGAUGGUGUGGCAGCCACAUAAGUCAGACACGUAUGGACAUGAACAAGAAUGUCACACUGGGUCCAAACUGAGAGCAACCUAAAUGUCAGUCACAGAUAUUUAAAAGUUUAUCUACUCAACAUGACACAACUCAGCUUAACAAAGAGCAGAUUCUGGAACAGGCACCAGGAGCAAAGUCCCUCGGAGGCACUCAGUAGUGACCAAAGCUGAUGGGAACCAGGCCCCGAGGAGCUUGUAAGAGUUGACACUGAUAAAGUUCAAACCAGGCGACAGAAAGGACAGCCAGCACACCUGGGACAGCCCGCCUGUGAUGAGCCUAUGGGAGCUGGAGAAUGGCAUCCAUCUUGGUCCAAAUGUUAUGCAGAGGAACACUCUGGCAAAACCAGGCUGGGUAGGAUGUGUGUGUGCCCUGGGGAUGUUGCCUAUGUUUAUGGGAGUCCAUGAUCUCUGUCACCGGUAUCAUCUUAUCACUAUUGGGCAGUGACAGUGACAGCAGUUGAGCUCUGUGGAACCCCUGGACUCCCCAACACUGAGCUGGGCUUUGUGGAACCCCUGAACUCCCCAACACUGAGAGGAGGCUUUGUGGAAUCCCUGGACUCCCCAACACUGAGCUGGACUUUGUGGAACCCCUGGACUCCCCAACACUGAGCGGGGCUCCUGAAACAGGAUCUGUUCUAACUCUAACUCUUACAACUACUGUACAAAAAAGUUCCAACAGUUCCACACUAGAGAGGAAAGCAAGCUCAGGGAGAAGGCAUAGAGCAAAAAGUGACACAACGAAAAGGGAUGGAGGCAUAGCUCAAUGAGGAGAGUGCUUGCCUAGCAUGCAUGAGGUCCUGAGUUCAAUCCCCAUCACUGUGUAAACCUGGUGUGAUAAUACCUGUAACCCCAGCACCCAGGAGGCAGAAGUAGGAGAAACAGAGGUUCAAGGCCCCCACUUCAGCUACACAGAAUGAUCCAGGCCAGCCUGGGCUACGUAAGACCAGAUCUCAAUUAAUUAACUAAGUAGUUUUUUAAAAAGUGAUAGAACCAGAUUAGAUCCUGGGUUUCCUGGUCUCCAAGACCGACUCCUGAGACUCAGUGAAUCCCCAGGACUCUGUUUUGCCCUGCCCUGCCCUGCCUUCACAGGCUGUUCACUCUUAAGCCUGCCAGCGCCACCUACGGUCCCUCUUCUGGGGCAGAGGGGACUGGACUACUCACAUGCUCAAUAGACUCACUCUGCAAAAUAACUGCUUAGGAAAUGCGUCCUUCCUCCCUCUCCAUGAGCUGCCUCAACCCUCUGCACCCCUCUUCCCACCACACGUCAUUGUGGUCGUUCCAGUCUUGGACCUCAGCCCAUUCAUCAGGAGCUCCACCGUCUGACUGGGGGGUCCUAGUCAAGCCCAGGACUCCCCCAGCCCAGCUCCUGACCUCAGAGCACCAUGAGGCCUUGAGGUUACAGUCCCCACCCUUGGCUGCAGUUCCCAAGUGACGCAAGCCAGCGUCUGGAUUCAGAGAAUCAUAAAACAUUUCUUUGGAAUAACAAGGGCUUCCACGGCCAUUUCUCCUGUCUCUUCCUGUGCCAGCUCUGCUGAGCGUGCUCUCCUCGCUGACCAUCCAAAACAGGGGCUGUGGGACCCCCUCCUCAGGGCACAAGGCCAGAGCUCAAGGGUCAUAUGAAACAUGCCCCCCAUCCCCUGACAGGGAAAUGGGAAGGCUAGGUACAAACCAGGAACACAAAGCUAGGCUCACUAUGCUUACUGUUCUACAGGGGGUGCCUAAAAAUUGUCAUUGACUGUUCCAGCCAUGUCAUUUGGCAGAUGGGGAAACUGAGGCCUAGGAAGGAAGAGUAUCUUACUGGGGUCUCUGCACUUGGCUUUGGUUCUCCUGGAGCACCUGCAGGGGCAGCAGAUGGGAGGGGGAGGCUCUGGCUCCAGGCAGAAGUAAAUAUUGACAUGAUGUGUUUACAUUGUAACCCGAGUCCUCCUGGCUGCCGCCUACACCCGCCUUUGCAUCCCAGCCAAGAAGGCAAAGGAGCAGGCCAGGAGGUGGGCUUGGAGAAGCCUCUUCUAGGCCAGAGGCUGUGCCCCCUACACACAGGAGCACGUGGUCCAAAAUCCCAGGACACCUCGAGUCAGGGGGCCUGGGUAAUGCCAGGCAGGGAGUGACUGCCACAGGAGCCAGGGAGAUGGGAGGUCUGGAUUGGGUUCCAGACCUAGCUCAGCCACUCUUCAGCAGUGGGACCUGAGAAUAGUGAGCAAAGGCAAUCCUGUGCAAGGAACCAGGCCACCAGCCUUUCAGCCUGGCCAGCGUCCAGUCCCAGCAGCCCCCAGUACCUCUGCCUGUUGCCCAGUGGUCCUGUUCCCAUCCCCAGGGGCUUUCUCAGGAAGGCUAAAUGAAGUGGCAGUUAGGGGCCAAAGGCUUUUGCUACCUAGUUCAAGUCCUCAGCUCCCAAAGUGAACUCCGGACAUCUGCUUUCAUAAGCCCAGACCUAAGAAGCCUUGUCCCUGGGUUUGAAGAGAAGAUUAAAACAUGUAAGGGCCUGGGGGUAGUGGGGGUGGGCAGGAGCCCUCACUCUAAACUUCUGAGUGGCUCCCUACUGUCCUUAGAAUCAAGACCCAAAUCCCUCACAUGACCCUCCCCAGGUGCACCUGCUCUGCCAGACAUCAUCCUUGGCACCCCUCAUGAGCAAACGCCUUCCCAGAGGCCAGCUGCCUCACCUUGCAUGCACAGCUCCCCAUGGUCUGAAGCCCCUCCUGGUCCCACUCACACUUCUGUGGUGGUGGAGACUGAGUUUUGAGUUUCCCUAUGCAUCCCUCAGCUGGUCUCAAACUUUGGGCAAUCCUCUUGCCUCUGUUUCUUCAAGGUCAGGGUUAUAGGCUUGCAUCAUGAAGCCGGGCUCCAUUCAUUCUUCAGGCCAUAGCUUGAAGACUGAAGAAUGUCAUGGUCUCAAGGACCCUCUUCAGAUCCCCAGGCCAGGUUCCCCAUCCCCAUCCCCCCACGUCUCCAUAGCAACAGGAACUGUGUUUGUCAUUUCCUGCCCAUAGGCUUGCCUAUCAGACUGUGGCAGAGACAUGUCAAUCUCAGCCAGCCACAUUGACCACAGCCCCGGGCCUUGUGCUGUCCCAGGCCGACUUGGUGGGUGCGUGAAUUGACAAGGAACGGCCAGGGGCACACAGUCACUGCAAGUGGACGUGACAGAGCAGAUAUGCAAAAACAAUUAGCUGAUGGUCCCCCUCCUUGUAGCCACCGCCUGCUCUCCAAGCCCCCCACUCCCGACAGGAUGGAAGUCUCUGUAAUUCUAUCUUAGAAACUGCAAUCAUCCCUUCCCAGAAGGCAACAGCAGCUUUCUUUACCAAAAACUGGGGCAAUUCAACGAAACAUGAGUAACCAUCACUGCUCGGCUACUUGGCCAAGAACAAGUGUAGGGACAUGAAUAAUCCAGUGUAACCCAGUUUCUAGGACAGGCCCGCUGCCCGGGGCGAGGUGGCCACCACCAUACAAUCAGAACUCCUCACCUCUUAUCUUCAAAUAAUAACACUGUCCCUUGUGUUUUUAAUAAUUUCUGCAUGUUCCCAUGUCGGUACCCUCACAAUGACAUCCUCAAAAGCAGAGCACAUCUGCCCCUCAUGAGAGGGAAGGAAGCAGAGAGAGGGAGGAUGCCUGACCUGAGGUCACACAGCAAACUGAUUUGACAUCGGGAUUCAAAUUUGGGCUCUGGAUCUUGUCUUCAACUCAACCUCUGUACAGUGAAGAUCUCCCUCCAUUCAAUAGUGGUCCAAACUCAGUCGCCCUCCCCCAGUGUGGAAUGUGAAGGAUUGGUUCACAGGAUACCACCAGAACAGUGUGGGAGUCCAGGCUGUCUCCUUCCCUUCAAACCCUCUGCCUCGUUAGUCCUCCUAGUACCUAGCAGCCUCAUGCCGUCUCCAUACCGCCUAGCUGUGCCCCUGGACCACCUCCUUCCUAUCUCUGUGCCUGCCGCUGGGUGGUUUGAGGACAUCUGGAGGUAGGAAGAUAUAAAAAGCCUCUUGGGAGUCCUCAUCCCACAGCUUGGGCUGAGGGUGUGGGGGCGCUUUCGACAGGAGGCCAUUAAGAACCGUGCUGAUUCUCUGCCAAGAGGUUAGGGACCUGGGUGGAGAGCUGGGAGUACCAGGGAGAUCCAGCGCCAACAACAGGAAACAGCCUGUAUAGGGCAAAGGAACCCCAUUAGGAACCUGGGAGGCAGCGGAAAACUGGGCUCUGCUGGAGGGGUGGGAUGCUGGAUUUAAGACUCAGAGUGAAGUAGCCCUGAAUCUCAGCCCCUCUUGGGAAUGAUGGCAAAGGUACCAACUUUAGGGGAACCCAAGGAGGCCUGGCGUCAGUCCUCACCCCACCCACUCAUGGUACAUCAACACUGUGCGUCAGCGGACUACAGUGGGCUCCCCCCCCCCCCCGCCCGCAGCAGUCAAGGCCUCUGCUCUCUGUCCCUACUAUUUCCCAGACCUGCCUUGUCCCCUCUCACCUGCUCCCACAUACCUGAGUGGCAAACAGCCCUAUUCUGGCCCUGUCCUGAGUAUUCUGUGUCCUCACACUUCUGGUCCAAUAUCACACAGGUUCCCCCAACUGGAACAUGUUUUCCUAUUCAGAUUAUAUCGGCUUAAUGACUCUCCCAUCUCUCCAGCCAGAAUGGAACACUUGCUGGGCAUGACAUAGCCACCUCCCUGAAGGACAUGACCCUUGGCCUGAGGAUGUUUAGGGAUGGAUAGAAGCGCCGUCAACACAUGGUUUAUGUCACUUUUUCUUCCCUUGUACAAGGUCUAGCACAGAGCAAGCAUCCCGUAAGUCUCUGUUAAACAAGAAACAGGGCAUUCUCUUUAAAUAUCACUGUCAUCUUCUCCUAAACAUGAUAAAUAUGAAUGGCUCUUCCAGACCAGAAAAUAGGUUGGAUGGUUAGCAGAACUUCCUAAUUCGAGCUCAAGGUUGUAAAAGAAAGUAAAUGGUAUUCCAAACACUCACUUGGGUUUAUCUCAGCCUGAUCCCCACACCAUCCCAGGAGACAGGAACCAUCACCCAUCUCAUUGAUGAGCGUGCACAAUGGGCUUAUAAUACAGCCCGACCAAAGUCCCUGCAGGGAUGUGAAGGAGCUGGGAUUAGACCCCCAAUCUGUUUGGGGACAAAGUCUACAGUCUUUCUGAUGGGCUGGGAAGCUUUUCAGGUGUUAGUUGGAGAUGGCCCAGCCAGCUGACAACAGCAGCAGAGGACCCUCAAGGGUCAUUCCAUGCACCUACAUGGUGGCUCAUAACUGUUGCUCCUGGAACUGGAGCUCCGACACUCUCUUCUGGCCUCAGUAUGUACCGGGCACACAUGUGUUAUUCUUAUAUACAUGCA